rnacentral:lncRNA from 1 species
AAAUAGCUCCUAAUUGCAAAGGGCAAAGAGUAACUUGACUGCGGGGAAGCCUGUCAGACAACACCUGGAUGGAGCGCUGCAGACGGGCAAUAAAGGCACAAAGGGAAAUGGCUUGGCACAUGGCAGGAAGCAGGAGAAUACAGCCUGCUGUCUGUGGUGCUCCUGCCUAGGGGGCAGCACCAGAACAGAAACCUGGGGAAAUAAGGACAAACCCAAACCGAGGGACUUUCUACUCAAGGGCUGGCCUGUGAUCCCCUAAAGUCAGCUCAUGAAAUCUAGAAAAAGACAGGGAGCUGUCCUAGACUGACAGAGACUGGAGUCCUGACAGCUGAACGCACAAAAAUUCUGCACCAGGGUCCUUUCACUGCAAAAGAUAUUAUCGGGACAACCGGCAAAGCCAGAAAUCAAGAUGUCAGUAACUUUUUCAUUUUUAAAGCAUCUUUAUCUGGCUGCAUGGGAUCUUGAGUUGUGGCAUGCGGGAUCUAGUUCUCUCACCAGGGAUUGAACCUGGGCCCCCUGCACUGGGAGCUUGGAAUCUUAGCCACUGACCACCAGGGAAGUCCCCCAGAUAUCAGUAACUUAAUGUUACUUUCUGGUUUCAGUGGCUGUAUUGUGCUUAUGUGAGAGAACUAUCGUUGCUCAUCAUUCUUUGUAAUGGCCUCCCAAUUUUUUUCUGUGUCUGCGACUAUUUAAAAAAACACCAUUACAUAAAAAUCAACUGCUACACAGUCUUCUACAGUACAUCACAUAUACCCCUUUCUUUCACCAGCUCCGACAUCCUCACUUCAGAGAUCCCAGUUCCCAUCCUCCAGCACUGUUACAAUAACUUCUUAACAAGGCUCCUUACGCUCCAAUCCACCCUACAACCGCUGCCUAAUUAAGGUUUUUCCCAAGUGCACUUCAGCUCAGGCCGUCCCCUGCGCCAACAUUUCAGUAACUCCUCAUUACCUGCCAAAUCAAGUACAAACGUCUUCAUGUGACUUUCAAGUUCCACGGGCUUCUAGUUCCAACUGAGCUCUUCCGGGCCGUCUUUCCCUGAGUCCCCCGUAUCACAGCCAGCCAUACAGCUGGGCCACACUCAGGGCUUUCUGCCCAUCCUGGCUCUGCUCACAUCACUCCCUCCACCAGGAAGUGUCCCCCUGCUCAAUCCC